AAACAAAUAGGGGGAGAUUAGCACGUUUGCAAUUUUUUUUAUCAUAUUAUCGUAUAAGCAAGUGGAGUUAUGGAGGGUCGAGAUUUAGAAUAUUUAGUAAAAUUGAACCAUACUGCCACAUGCAGCAACUAAAGAAUAAAUCUGGCGGCAGGCCAAUGCCUAAGAUUCAGCUGCGUGUGGAGAGAAAGAAGAGUGAUUAUCGCACUUUCAAUGAGGAGAGCUAUGUCUGCACCGAGUGGCUAGCUGGUAGCGCUAAACUUAAGCUACUAUUUUGCUGGCCAUGUCUUCAUUUUGACAAAGAUUCCUGCUCCCUGAACCUUCCCUGGGUUACUUAUUGACCACUUCGCCACCAUGAAAGAGGAGAAUGGCCUUCCUAUGCAAAUAGGCGGACAACUUCGCAGCGACGACCGAUCUCUGGUCUAGCCGUACUAUGGAGCCAUACAUCAGCCUGACCCUGCACUUCAUCGACUCAGAAUUCUGUCUGAACGUAAGAUGUCUCCAAACUGCGUUCAUGCCCGAAGACCACACUGGACUGAACAUCGCCCUUGGACUGAGGGAGUCUCUGGCGGAAUGGGGAUUACCAGAGGGAAAGCUUGUCUGCAUCACCACGGACAAUGCCGCUAACAUAAAGCUUGCGGUUGAGGUCAACGGAUGGUUGAGGCUCCAAUGUUUCGGGCACAGACUCCACCUGGCCAUAGAGAACGCAAUGAAGGAUCCAAGGAUCAGCCGUGCAAUGGGGGUCUGCAAGAAACUGGUCAGCAGUUUCUCCUACAGCUGGAAAAAAAAGAGGGAGCUUCAACUGGUGCAGAAGCAGUUGAAUCUGCCUGAACACUCCCUGAAGACAGAAUGUCCAACCCGAUGGGGGUCCAGGCAGGCCAUGAUUGAGAGGGUCCUUGAGCAGCAGAAGGCCAUUGCUCAGGUCCUUUCCAAUGACAGGAAACUCAGACAUCUCACACUCUCUUGGCAGGACGUGGAUGUUCUAGAAGCUGUUAAUAAGUCGCUAAGCCCUCUGGUUGUGUUCACGGAUGCACUUUCAGGAGAGAGAUAUGUUAGUGUGUCUUUUGUGAAACCAACCCUUCACCUCUUCAACAAUUCGAUCUUAAAAGACCAGGAGGAUGACACACCACUUGCAAAAACAAUCAAACACAACAUACUGACAUAUCUUAAUGACAAAUACAGUGACCGAACAACCCAAGAGCUACAUGAUGUGGCCUCUGCCCUGGACCCAAGAUUCAAGCUAAAGUACGUUGACGAAGACGUCCGUGGAUCCAUUGUUGAUAGACUGAAAGUGGAGAUGAGGGAUGUGAUGAAUGCCAUGGAGAAAGCCCCGCAUGAAACGGCUGCUUUGCCUGCUGAUGCAGAGGAUGCUGGUGCAGACUGCUGAAGAGAUUGGGAGCACCAGCAUGAUUUGGACCAGGUGUAGGAUAUUCUGCAAAAGACGAAGUGUGGUGAUCAAACCAACUUUCCAAAUCACCAAGUCAACAGUGACAAUGAUCAUGUAAUUUUUGAUACUACAGAUAACAGAGCCUACCGCAAAGUCUGAGCAGUAGGGCUCUUUUGUCGUCAUGACUUGCCACAGUCCAAGAUAGCUUUUGUCCUUGAAUGACGUGUUUAUCGUCAUUUUCAUCAGUUGGAACUCCUCUUUGGCCUUUUCUUUGCUGCAGCCAUUCCUGGCAUGAGAUGGAAGAAUGGCAGGAACAAGGAGCCCCAGGUUCUCCUCCUCUCUGUUGGCGCUGCUUCUUCAUGGCUGCAAGGAACUCAGACAGCUUACCAUCAGGUUUGGGGCUAGCUGCCAUAGCUUCUAUGGUAGCCAAGAGAGAUUCGAUGCCACUAACAGCCUGGGAAGACAGUUGUAUUCUUAAUAUAAGCAACAUGUUAAGGGGACAUUCAGUUUUAUUACUACAGUAUAAUACAUUAUAUACUACUACAGUUUACUACAUAAACUACAAUCUACUGAAGUAAAUUACAGAACAUGUUAUGGCCUCCUUUUUCUCUCUUCUUUACCUGAGGUAGGAUUACAUUGUUUCUCUGAAGCUGCAGGCUGAAGUUGCUGAUGGAAGAGAAAAGGUCUGACAGGAAGUGGCAAAAUGCCACAUGUCCCAUCCUCCAUGCUGACUUUGACCUGCAAAUAUGUAGUUCUGUUUCUCAACUCAUAAAACACGUUAAGUUAAAAUGUUUUCAAUAAUUGAUAUAUAUGUCAACACAAAACACUGAGAUAAGAUAAUACUUACCUUCUUUGCUCUGCCAGCUAUCUGCACUGGCCGAGGCACCUGCCAGAUGCUCCAUGUGCACAUACACGGCUGUAAACUGGCCAGGGGAAUUACCAUCCUUCCCUGGUUUUAGGAAGGUCCUCAAACUCCGGGACACAUGGGGCAGCCACCUGGUCCCUUUCACUCCACUCGGUGCAUUCACUGUGACUGUUCAGCUCCAAGUGCUUUGAGUUCCCUCAUUGAUUUAGGGGUUAGGUGGUAUGUUUUCCAGAUGAGGUGCAACAGGUCAUACACCUGCCCAAUCAUGGAGACCUCUCUUUGCACCCUCAACAUCCCUAGCUCCAAUCUUUACAGAAAAUAGAUAUAUUUGUUUUAAAUUGUAAUUACACUUUGGAGAAUGAAUAUGUAUGGCAGAUAUGGUAAAAGGGAACCUACCUGUGUGGCAUGCAGUGGAAUGAGACAAUGAAGGACCCAAUCUCUGCUUGAAGGAGGGCUAUCACUCCACCUCUGUGUCCCAGAUUGACAGCUGCACCGUCUGCACCCAUGGCUACAAUUUUUUCCGCCCAGUUCUCACAAGGCUUUCUUGGCUGCAGCAUAAACGCCUUAAAUUAAGCACAUAACAUGGAAUAUUUAUAUUCCCUCUCUCUCUCUCUCUCUCUCUCUCUCCCUCUACACACACCAAUAUCAUCUGAGACAGACACAGACACAAAUGGGCGUUCCCGUGUCGUGGGCGUUCUCGUUCACGCAGACUAAAACGCCCCCCCGGCGUUCUCGUUUACGCAGGCUGGAACGCCCAGUUCUUCUUCGUCGAUCUAGUAGUAUGGGCAGUAUAGAACUGACGUUAGCGCCCCCUUCUUCUUCGAUCUUGUAAUACGGGUACGUUAGCCAGCUAGGCCUACAGAAUGUUAGCUUACAUUUAUGUGUCGGAUCUCGGCCCAAACUUUGCAUCAAACUUGAUGCAAAACGAUCAUUACAGGGAGGCUCCAUGAUCUCAUGUUCAUUAUCUUCUGGGUUAGUAUAGGUAGGGUAUUAGGUAUAAGUGAGAUGUUUGAUAUAGUUGUUUAAGAAUAUGCCCAAAUUAAAUAAUGAAUAGAUUAAAAUAACACUUGGGACAUUAUGCAGUUCAAAUCCAGUUACCACCAGACACUAUGAAGGCUCAAACAGUAGACCAUUUGACUCCAAGUGUUCACUUACUUUUCCCACUGAAUGUUUUCAAUAAAGA